CCCGUCCUGCUCUGUUCGCGGACCGUGACGUAUAUCACCCUACACUUUUAUUUUUGGGGCUAAAGCUCGUACAGUGGGCUUGCAGACCUCCCGCGGCGGUGCCGAGUUCGGAAGAAGGGAGCGCGAAGCUGUACGGCCCGCACCCACCUGGCUUUUAGGCUAGGUUAUCUUAAGCACAUUACGGCAGAGCGGGAUGAUU
rnacentral:other from 1 species